GUCUUUGCUUUUUAGGGCCGAACCUGCGGCAUACAGAAGUUCCCAGGCUAGGGGUCAAAUUGGAGCUGUAGUCACUAGUCUACACCAGAGCCACAGCAACAUGGGAUCUGAGCCACAUCUGCUACCUACACCACAAAUCACAGCCACGCCGGAUCUUUAACCUAUUGAGCAAAGCCAGGGAUCAAACCCGCAUUUUCAUGGAUACUAGUCUGGUUCUUAACCCACUGAGCCACAAUGGGAACUCCAACCACCUUUUUUUUUUUUUUUUUUUUUUUUAAUUCAACCAAGUCUCUGAGUCCACAGAUGGGCAGGGAAACUAGAGCAGAGAUAAUCCCUGUACCCUCCCACCGGACAGACUGCCCACCAGAGACUGGCUCCCCGUAGACCAGGGUGGCAAGGACUGUGUUUGCAGACCAGACAAAAUGCAAUAGCACCCUCAACCCCUUCCGCUCAAAAAUCCGUCAGCCUCUGAUUGGAGGAAGCACCACCUACCUGUCACUACCCUGUGUGUAUUUUCCAUUUAACAGAUCACCACGUAUGCUGCCGUCUAAGAUGAGUAAUUUUCAAAGCGAUAGGGGACACUAUUAACCAUGACUUGAAGACUGCAGGUAUAAACCAAAGCUGCCGCAGGAAACUGAGACCCAUGGAGCACUUUAAAGAUGCAACCCUAGGUGCUGAGUUUAUCAAAGUCACAUUAAAUGCGCAGCCCCUACCCUCUCAAAGGUGACCGACCAGUGCAGAAUAUAAUCAAUCACCCAAAUAAGUAAUAAUGAUCUAACCUGCUUAAGAUGGGUGCUUGGAAGGAAAAGUCCUGGGAGUUAUGACUUGGACUUCACUGGAUCUGGAGGGCAGAUCCCAUGUGCUCUGGAAAGAACACAUGCAAAGGCUCUGAAGUAGGAAGGAAUUCCAGGCAGAAAGCCAAGUCGAGAGGGCUGGAGCAGGAGAGGAGGAAGAGAGGAAGAAAGUGACAAAGCCACAAGGUGGGCACUGGAGAAGGAAAAGAACAUGGGGAGGAUUUUAGGUGAGACCAAGGGCGGGGGGGAAGCCAGGGAGACCAAAGCAUGGGAGUGUCACCAUCAGAUCUGGGACUGGAGCCCUUGGCUCAGCGCUAAGAGUGGACCGACCACAGGCAGGAAAGAGACAGCAGGAGGCCAGCGCAGUCAGGAGGAGGGAGGCUCAGAGCAGGGCAGGGGUUAAAGAAAUUGAGAUGUUAACAUCCGAUGAUGCUGGUGAUGGGGACGAGGCUGCCAAGGUUCAGGCUUAGCCGGAAGAAAAGCGCCAGGAUGGCAGACAGAAAAGCCAGUUCCUUACACAAGCCUAAAUUGCCUAGGAUUGCUUUGUAAUCUUGCUCGCACAGCCUCAAAACACAUACACAUUAAAAUGAAAUGGAAAUGCUCAAGCCACCCUCCCCCAGUUUUCCCUCUCCCACAAAUCAAUGAAUCUUUCAGCAAUCUAAACAAGACAGAUUUGCCUAAACAACUCAGCAUUCCCAGUGUUUGUCAUGACCUCUUCAGUUAUGUCAGCCAGUAACACAACUGAAAAUGAAGUUAUACUGGAGGCAUCAUGGCUCAGUGGAAACAAAUUUGACUAGUAUCCACAAGGAUGAAGGUUCCAUCCAUAGCCUCGCUCAGCGGAUUAAGGAUUCUGCAUUGUGGUGAGCUGUGGUGUAGGUCGCAGAUGCGGCUUGGAUCUCGCAUUGCUGUGGCUCUAGCGUAGGUCAGUGGCUACAGCUCCAAUUAGACCCCUCUCCUGGGAACCUCCAUAUGCCACGGGUGCAGCCCUAGAAAAAAGAAGAAACAAAGAAAGAAAGAAAAUGAAGUUAUUAAGAGUUCUGAGUGAUACAGGAAGUUCCUUUCAUCUUUAGAAAUGAUAUUCAAAUUGCAAAUCCUUUCUAGGAUUGAAAACCUAUAAAAUCACAUCUGGUGGCAUUUCAGCACCUCAAUGGACAGAAUUUAAAAUGAAUGGUCAUCAUCCUUUGAGAGGAUCUGAUAAAUAAACAGAAAGGUAUCAUUUUAGUCCCAAUAGUUAUACCACUGUUAUACUUGUAUUAUACUCAAUAGUUAUACCAUAGUUAUAUCUGUACCACUAAACCUAAAAAUUAGAUUUUCAGAGUUCCCAUCAUGGCUCAGCAUCCAUGAGGACGCAGGUUUGAUCCCUGGCCUUGCUCAGUGGGUUAAGGAUCCGGUGUUGCUGUGAGCUGAGUUACAGGUCGCAGAUGCUGCUCAGAUCCCAUGUUGCUAUGGCUGUGGCGUAGGCCGGCGGCCACAGUUCCAAUUCGACCCCUAGCCUGGGAACCUCCACCUCCAUAUGCCGCCAGUGCAGCCCUAAAAAGACAGAAAAAAAAAAAAAAAGAUUCGAAUUUCAUGAAUAAUACAUCAUAAAUAGAAAAUAGAAUAGUGUCCACCCCCUCCUAUAUUCCCAUGCACCUAAGUAAAAAGGAUCAAUCACAUUAAAAAUUACCUAUGACUUAUACUCCUAUCACAUCCUCUAGUUGGUAAAGCGCUGACUUUUUUCAGUGACCCUGAAAUCACAAGCAGCCAAGUAUGCCCUUGACUGUCAAGAGCUGUCACAAGGAUCCUACAUAAGCCAACAGAAGAACACAGUCUGGGACCAAAGUCUGGAUUAUGAUAUAUCAAGUUUCCCUCAGAGUGCGGUGACCCAGAUUUCAAAUAUCCAAAUACUAGCAACAGACACACACACAGGUGAGCACACUUUUUUUUUUUUUCCUUUUUGAGUAACUGUCUUCUUUGCAAUAAAAUCCAUUCAUUAAAUGUGGUUUAAUUUGCAUGCUCUUAUAAAGUUCAUUAUAAAAGCAGUCCACAAAUGGGGGUGGGGGGGGAAUCUGUGGUGGAUGCUUUGUCCCAAUUUGAAUUUUUUUUAAAACAUGGAGUCAUUACUCUCUUCUCUUCCCAGAUAGACCCCCCAACUCACUCAGAAACAAAAAGGGCCCCGAAAGGAUCCAGCAAACACAAAGGAGGAAUCUGUGGUUCUGGGAGGAAAGAUACUCUCCUGGACCCGCACAACUAUAUCAGAGAGAAGUCUCUACAGGUGAUGAUUAGAACAGAGGUGCCAAGAAUUAAGGGAUGACAAACCUCACUGGAGAGGGUGGGACAAGAGACAAAGAUGCCCAGUUUUUACCGAGGCCUUCUUCCCCAGCCAGGCCUGCUGAGGUUUCAGGGAGAGUGGUCAGAGGACAGGAACACAAGCAGAGAGAACGCCAAGGAAAACAGUAUGGCUCAUCACCCUCAGUCUCCACUGCCAGCCCCCGACUCCUGCACCAGCACAUCUUCCCACAGCAGAGAAGGGGGAGCAAAGUCAUUGACAUUGGACUAAUGGUUCGCAGUGGCCUGAGCACUUGCACAUUUUUUUACUUAUCCGUGCCUUCCAAACAAUUUCUGGAAUGCCUUCCAGGAGCCAGGCCCUGUCAAGACCUGGCAUGAAACUCCACCCAGGUCCCGUCCCACAAGGACCUCAAGGACCAACUGAAUGGGCACCAAAGCCUGCCCACUGUGGCAAGUGCCCCCAAGAAGAGGCAAUUCCGCCCACAUAAUCCCCACACAAGGGAGGGACUGACUGCCUGACGUCUUCAUCUUUUCACCACCAUUGUUUAAAAUGGUUCCGAGGGUGAACUUCGCCAGACAGAAGACAAUCCAUAUGAUGUGACAGCUUGUAAAACUCACAAUAGCCAGCUUGUAUUUUAACCAUGUAAACGCACCUUUGAUUUCUCCUUUAAAAAACAAACAAUUUGCUGUGAAUCAAAGACCGUGAGGUGAAAAACAGGGUGUUAAAAGAAAAAAAAAAAAAAAUAAGACUACAAAACAAAACAGAUUGCCCAGAACCACUCCAACUGAGAAAGGCAGAGUGCCAGGCUGGCACUCUGUAGCUACGAGCAUCCCACAGCCCUCCUCGAUAUCUGCCAUCCAACUGGCCAGAAGCAAAAUACGUAAGCUCCUUCUUUUUAGCACUUUAGUAGAUAUCACUGUAUUUUGAAGGGUUUUUUAAAUAUUUCUGAAAAGGAGCUAUGAGGAAUACAUGCCAAAGGACAGAAUGGCUAAAUGAUGGGGUGAGGUGGGAGAAGACCAAGUUUAGCCAUGAGUUCCCAAAGGUUAUCCUUCUAGAACCAGCUCUUGCAAGAAUGAUUGCAGCAGCAUGAGCCGUGGCUACCCAGGCUCUGGGAGACGUGCUUUGCCCUCUUGGCUUCAUUGGUCCUCUCCAACUUUUUAUGGUAGACACCAAACCUUUGGUAGAAGGUAGACAGAAAUGGCAGACACAUCCCCGAACGCAGAAGUUAAGUGCAAAGGUACAGUCACCUAACAUAAGAACAUUCACACCCUGGAACCAGUUCCCGAGCCCCUAUUCCCACAGGGUGAUGGGGAGAGAACCUGGUGACACCUGCACACACAGCAGAACUGCACGACAGCUGAGGUCCCCUGAACUUCGGGAACCUGAUUACUUCCUAACGGACGUCAUAUACGCCCAUCCCUUUGCUCUAUCGCCAUACGGCUGGGAAACGGAAUGUGGAUG
rnacentral:lncRNA from 1 species